GAAACCGUAGAAUGCACUCAACAUACAACAGGUUUGAGUACUCCACUUGCUGUUCCAGUCACAGUCACAGUGCCUGCCUGUGGGCUGAGUGCUUCAUUUUAAGCUAAGUAGAUCUCCAAGAGCACAGAGAGCUCGUCCCCAGGGUCCCGCAGCACCUUCAGGCACAGAUGCCGUCCGAAGCUGAUGCUGGUGACAGUCACUUGAAUCUUUAAAGUGGACUGAAUGAAGCUCUUUCUCCGUCAGUCAAUCGUGGAAGGGGUGUGGCCUCGUCUUGGCGCAGCCACAAGGCUCAAGCACAAAGCAGCCCCACAAGUCUCUGAGAAGAGGAACAACUUUGCUAACUGUUGGGGCUUUUGUGUUUGUCUGUAUAUUUUUGGUGUUCCUGGACAUGGAUCCUGAGGCUCUUGAGUGUUAGAGGCACUCUGCUUCCAGUCACAGGAGAGUUUCCCAAUCUGAGAGGAGUCCAGCAAGCUCACAGGAAAAUUGUCUUGUUGUGGCUGAGGAAUGUAGAGCAAUGGCAGCACUCAUGAGUGAGGAACCCACGUAGAAUGAAGUUCUCCAGCACUGAGAGACUUUCAAUAUU
rnacentral:lncRNA from 1 species